GCUGGGAUGGCAGAGCGGCCAUGCGCCGGCCUGCAGAGCCGGAUAGGGGAGUUCAACUCUCCCUCCCAGCU
rnacentral:tRNA from 1 species